UACGGGGGGGGCAAGCGUUGUUCGGAAUUACUGGGCGUAAAGGGUGCGUAGGCGGCUUUCUAAGUUGGAUGUGAAAACUAUGGGCUCAACCCAUAGCCUGCAUCCAAAACUGGAGAGCUUGGGUUCUGGAGGGGAAAGCGGAAUUCCAGGUGUAGCGGUGAAAUGCGUAGAUAUACGGAGGAACACCAGCGGCGAAGGCGGGUAGCUGGGCCAACACUGACGCUGAUGCGCGAAAGCUAGGGGAGCAAACGGG
rnacentral:rRNA from 1 species